GAUUUCUGGUACGGCGCACUUGGCCCGUCACGGUUACGUGUAUGUGUGCCGGUGUGCGCCUGCCAUCCAUCUGGAGAACGUUGUCGCCCUUCACUGGGUGGGCAGCGGUAUCCAGAUCUUUUACUUUGAAAAAAUUAGAGUGUUUAAAGCAGGCUUGUGCUGUGAAUACAUUAGCAUGGAAUAAUAAUUUAGGACUUUGGUCUUAUUUUGUUGGUUUCUAUAACUGAAGUAAUGAUUGAUAGGGAUAGUUGGGGGUGCUAGUAUUGGCCGGCCAGAGGUGAAAUUCUUGGAUUCGGUCAAGACUAACUUAUGCGAAAGCAUU
rnacentral:rRNA from 1 species